UAGAUGGAGAGUAGAGCAUAUCAAUAAGCGGAGGAAAAGAAACUAACAAGGAUUCCCCUUAGUAACGGCGAGUGAAGCGGGAAGAGCUCAAAUUUGAAAUCUUCAAGGUUUUACCUUGACGAAUUGUAGUUUAACGAAGUGUUUUCUGUUGGAGUUUUGGUAAAAGUUCUUUGGAAUAGGACAUCAUAGAGGGUGAGAAUCCCGUAUUUGACCAUUAUUUCCAGCUGUGUGAUACACUUUCAAAGAGUCGGAUUGUUUGGGAAUGCAGUCCAAAAUGAGUGGUAAAUUUCAUCUAAAGCUAAAUAUUGGCGAGAGACCGAUAGCGAACAAGUACCGUGAGGGAAAGAUGAAAAGAACUUUGAAAAGAGAGUUAAACAGUACGUGAAAUUGUCAAAAGGGAAGCGUUUGACACCAGUGUUGUUUUCUCGAAAAUCAAUUAAAAAUGAUGGGAUUUUGUGUUGUAUUGACUUUAUCAGCUUUCUGCACUUUUUUCUUAUCUUUUUUAAUGCACUUUUCGUUUAACAAGUCAACAUCAAUUUCUUUUGUUGUAAAAGAGUCAUUGGAAGGUGGCUUUUUCUUCGGAAAAAGUGUUCAUAGCCUUUGGCUUCUGCAAUCGGAGAGAUUGAGGUCUGCAGCGUAGAUCCUUCGGGGUUAGAUACAUUUGUGCUAAGCUAUAGUUCUUUAUAGACAACUUGUUGACUAUAAUCAAUCCUGUAACUUACUCGCUUAUGCUAUUUUACCUACGCUUAGGAUGUUGACGCGCGUGUGUGCGUG
rnacentral:rRNA from 1 species